ensembl:misc_RNA Metazoa_SRP Metazoan signal recognition particle RNA
GCUGGGUGUGGUGUCGCAUGCCUAUAAUCCCAGCUACUCAGGAGGCUGAGACAGGAGAUUAGUUUGAACCUGGGAGGCAGAGGUUGCAGUGAGGCGAUAUUGCACCACUGCACCCCAGCCUAGUGACAGAGCGAGACGUCUCAAAAAAAAAAAAUAAUAAUAACAAUAAAAUUUAAAAAGAAGCUUUUUUUUUGGAAACAGGAUCUCACUCUGUUGCCCAGGCUGGAGUGCAGUGGCACAAUCUUGUCUCACUGCAACCUCCGCCUCCCAGGUUCAAACUAAUCUCCUGUCUCAG